AGAGUUUGAUCCUGGCUCAGAACGAACGCUGGCGGCAGGCUUAACACAUGCAAGUCGAACGCCCCGCAAGGGGAGUGGCAGACGGGUGAGUAACGCGUGGGAAUCUACCGUGCCCUGCGGAAUAGCUCCGGGAAACUGGAAUUAAUACCGCAUACGCCCUACGGGGGAAAGAUUUAUCGGGGUAUGAUGAGCCCGCGUUGGAUUAGCUAGUUGGUGGGGUAAAGGCCUACCAAGGCGACGAUCCAUAGCUGGUCUGAGAGGAUGAUCAGCCACAUUGGGACUGAGACACGGCCCAAACUCCUACGGGAGGCAGCAGUGGGGAAUAUUGGACAAUGGGCGCAAGCCUGAUCCAGCCAUGCCGCGUGAGUGAUGAAGGCCUUAGGGUUGUAAAGCUCUUUCACCGGAGAAGAUAAUGACGGUAUCCGGAGAAGAAGCCCCGGCUAACUUCGUG
rnacentral:rRNA from 1 species